rnacentral:lncRNA from 1 species
AGGCAUCGGAGGCGGAGCCGCCGAGCGGCGGCUGGGCGGGAGCGGGGCUGCGCGGCGGCGGCGAGAGCGGGCACGAGUUCAAUUUCUUCAGAUAAACUGGAAAUUUUCAAUAAUGGCAAUACGUUCAUUCUGCCAUUUGGAGGAGCCUGUGCCACAGAAUAAUGAUCUGAAGAAAGCUCACUUAUUUGCAAGGAAGAGUCUUCAUUUGGGAAGUAGUUCCGUUGCAGCUAACAGGUGCUUUGUCAAGUUCAGCAGAACUAUUAUUGUUCCUAGUAGAACCUCCUGUUUGUGGACAAAAUUGGGGUUUCCUCAAAGAGAGUCCUGUAUCUGAAGAGUGAGAAGCACUAGGUCUUUGACAUUCAGUGGGAUGAGAAUCUCAGAACAGACUGACUACUGGGGACUCCCAAGCUACAGUUCAGAAACCAUUUUGUUAGGUGUGGGUUGCUUGUCAGAAAUCCAUUCGAAGCUUGAGUGCAAGGCAAGCAGGGUACUAAUGAUGGAUAUGAAUGGAUAUCUUCAGGAUAACAAUGGAUGCAGCAUCUUCAAAAGCAGUGUCAUUCUGGCUCUGCCACUGGAUUUGUUCAAAUGGACCUUGAUAGCCAUGGGGCCUGACUGAGUUGAUGAGACUCUGGGUGACUGCAAGUUUCUACUCUGAAGAUCUGAUUGUAGGCUUCAACCUAAAUUUCUAUUUUAUUCCUCUGUCUAUUUCCUUCUAAUACAUGAAAAUUAUCCUACAAAAUGGUAUUGUCUUUGAGUCUCAUGCACACCUACUUUAAUAGCAUUCAGAUACCAUGUGCUUGGGAUGUUGUCAGAGAUCGUUAAAACACUUCUGUUGUGUCAUAUGCCAAAACCUCAUCAUUGCUGUGAUUAUUGCGUUAUAUUUUUACAUUCAGUGGCUUCCUACCUAAAAUGGAGAUCAUCAUCUGUGUUUUCAGUCAUUGUGGUAUUUCUCUUAACUCAGAUUUGGAAGUCAGAGUAACUGUUAGAACUCUAUUCAGGUCUACACUUUUAAAGGUGCUAGUAGACUUGGUUUUGUUUGUUGAACACAAAUAAGUUCUAUUUUACUUUAUUUUGCAAUGUGCUGUUUUUUUAGUAGCCUACUACUACUGAAAGCUUUCAAUAUGAUGAUACCCUGUGAUGUAGACCAAUAAAAUAAGUAGGAAAAGGCAUGAACUUUUA